UACGGGGGGGGCAAGCGUUGUUCGGAAUUACUGGGCGUAAAGGGUUCGUAGGUGGCCCGCUAAGUCAGACGUGAAAUCCCUCAGCUUAACUGGGGAACUGCGUCUGAUACUGGAUGGCUUGAGUUUGGGAGAGGGAUGCGGAAUUCCAGGUGUAGCGGUGAAAUGCGUAGAUAUCUGGAGGAACACCGGUGGCGAAGGCGGCAUCCUGGACCAACACUGACACUGAUGAGCGAAAGCCAGGGGAGCAAACGGG
rnacentral:rRNA from 1 species